CCUACGGGUUGCAGCAGUGGGGAAUAUUGCACAAUGGGCGCAAGCCUGAUGCAGCCAUGCCGCGUGUAUGAAGAAGGCCUUCGGGUUGUAAAGUACUUUCAGCGGGGAGGAAGGCGAUAAGGUUAAUAACCUUGUCGAUUGACGUUACCCGCAGAAGAAGCACCGGCUAACUCCGUGCCAGCAGCCGCGGUAAUACGGAGGGUGCAAGCGUUAAUCGGAAUUACUGGGCGUAAAGCGCACGCAGGCGGUCUGUCAAGUCGGAUGUGAAAUCCCCGGGCUCAACCUGGGAACUGCAUUCGAAACUGGCAGGCUAGAGUCUUGUAGAGGGGGGUAGAAUUCCAGGUGUAGCGGUGAAAUGCGUAGAGAUCUGGAGGAAUACCGGUGGCGAAGGCGGCCCCCUGGACAAAGACUGAUGCUCAGGUGCGAAAGCGUGGGGAGCAAACAGG
rnacentral:rRNA from 1 species